CCUACGGGUGGCUGCAGUGGGGAAUUUUCCGCAAUGGGCGAAAGCCUGACGGAGCAAUACCGCGUGAGGGAGGAAGGCUCUUGGGUUGUAAACCUCUUUUCUCAGGGAAGAAGAAUGACGGUACCUGAGGAAUAAGCAUCGGCUAACUCCGUGCCAGCAGCCGCGGUAAUACGGAGGAUGCAAGCGUUAUCCGGAAUUAUUGGGCGUAAAGCGUCCGCAGGUGGCAGUGCAAGUCUGCAGUCAAAGGCCGGGGCUCAACCCCGGAAAGGCAGUGG
rnacentral:rRNA from 1 species